rnacentral:rRNA from 1 species
GUGGGGAAUUUUGGACAAUGGGCGCAAGCCUGAUCCAGCAAUGCCGCGUGCAGGAAGAAGGCCUUCGGGUUGUAAACUGCUUUUGUACGGAACGAAACGGUCCGGGUUAAUACCCUGGGCUAAUGACGGUACCGUAAGAAUAAGCACCGGCUAACUACGUGCCAGCAGCCGCGGUAAUACGUAGGGUGCAAGCGUUAAUCGGAAUUACUGGGCGUAAAGCGUGCGCAGGCGGUUUUGUAAGACAGGCGUGAAAUCCCCGGGCUCAACCUGGGAAUUGCGCUUGUGACUGCAAGGCUGGAGUGCUGCAGAGGGGGAUGGAAUUCCGCGUGUAGCAGUGAAAUGCGUAGAUAUGCGGAGGAACACCGAUGGCGAAGGCAAUCCCCUGGGCCUGCACUGACGCUCAUGCACGAAAGCGUGGGGAGCAAACAGGAUUAGAAACCCGGGUAGUCC